GUCUCAUUGGUCUAGUGGUAUGAUUCUUGCUUCGGGUGUAAGGGGCCCCGGGUUCAAAUCCCGGAUGAGCCCCUACA
rnacentral:tRNA from 1 species